AGCGAACGCUGGCGGCAGGCUUAACACAUGCAAGUCGAACGGGCACUUCGGUGCUAGUGGCAGACGGGUGAGUAACGCGUGGGAACGUGCCUUUCGGUUCGGAAUAAUCCAGGGAAACUUGGACUAAUACCGGAUACGCCCUUCGGGGAAAGAUUAUCGCCGAAAGAUCGGCCCGCGUCUGAUUAGCUAGUUGGUGAGGUAAAGGCUCACCAAGGCGACGAUCAGUAGCUGGUCUGAGAGGAUGAUCAGCCACACUGGGACUGAGACACGGCCCAGACUCCUACGGGAGGCAGCAGUGGGGAAUAUUGGACAAUGGGCGAAAGCCUGAUCCAGCCAUGCCGCGUGAGUGAUGAAGGCCUUAGGGGUUGUAAAAGCUCUUUUGUCCGGGUAAGAUAAUGACUGUACCGGAAGAAUAAGCCCCGGCUAACUUCGUGCCAGCAGCCGCGGUAAU
rnacentral:rRNA from 1 species